CUCUGCUGGGAUGGGUUCAAAGUAGAGAAAGUGCAAGAGGGAAGAGUUACCCGGGCGAGGGAGGGGAACGGGCCGCAGGUUCAGUCCUAGCUGUGGUGUGGGUCUGGAAGAAUGCAAGAUCUUCUGGUCCCAGUUAGGAUGGUGAGCAGGGUCCUCGCUCCGAGGAAGAAUGCUGAGCGGGGUCUGGAAGAAUGCAGGGUGUCCUGGGCCAGUGGAGGAUGGUGAGCAAGGUCCUGGCUCUAGGGCGAGAUGAUGAGCUGGGUCAGAAGAGACGCGGGGUCCCUACUCCGGGGAUGAAUGCUGAACAGAAUAUGGAGGGACGCAGCGUCUCCACUCCGGGAUGGGAUGCUGAGCGGGGUGCCCAUUGCGGGGACGAGAUGCUGUACCAAGACAGGAGGGACACAGGGUCCCGUCGAGGGGCGGAAAGCUGAGCAGGUUCCUAGUUCCUGCGCAGAAUGCUGAGGUGGAUCCCGGAGCAAGGUGCCGGCCCCGGGACGGAAUGCUAAGCUGAGUCUGGCAGGCCGCAGGGUCUGGUAUACCGAGCAGGAUGCUGAACGGGGUCUGCAGGAAGCAAGGUCAGAAUUCAGCAGAGAUCACGGUCGAGGUGGACUGAAGUAUCGAAGACUGGAUUGAAGAAGUAUCGAAGACGUGCAUGGGAGAACUAAGGGACCCGCAUAGGGGAGGGGCCAGAAGAGGGCACCAGAUCUCACUACAGAUGGUUGUGAGUCACCAAAUGGUUGCUGGGAAUUGAACUCAGGACCUCUGGAAGAACUGCCAGUGCUCUAUAACCUCCGAGCCACCUCUCCAGCCCUGAGAAAUACUUUUUUAAAUGCUGAGUAAAAGAUUUGGAAUAAGCUCUGCAUGGUGACACACACUUGUUAUGCCAACACUUGAGAGGUGUGCAGGGGGAUCAGGAGUUCAGGGUCACUCUCAGCUAUUUGUUGAACUUGAGGGUAGCCUAGACUACGUGAGACCUUGAGUCAACAAAAUAGGAUAUAAAAUUGCAUGUGAACUUGUAAAAUGUGAUAUUAGUGUAUCUGUGUUAAAAUAAUCCAUGCACAGGGUGGGAGGCCGGAAAGAUACUGCUCUUCCAGAGGACGCCAGUUCAUUUUCAAACACCUAUGUUGGGUGGCUCACAACUGCCAGUAAUUCCAGUUCCAGGAGAUCUGGCCUUCCUGGGUACCUGCUUGGGCACACAUACACGCACAAGCACACACACUUAAUUAAAGAAACAAAGCCAUCUUCCCCCAACAAACAAACAAAUAAACAACAAAAACCUUGCUGGGUCAGUGAGAUCACUCAGUGGGUUAAAGCACUAGCCAAUGAGGGUGCUGACAUGAGUUCAAC
rnacentral:lncRNA from 1 species